rnacentral:rRNA from 1 species
AUUGAACGCUAGCGGGAUGCCUUACACAUGCAAGUCGAACGGAGUGGCGAACGGGUGAGUAAUGUAUCGGAACGUGACCAUUAGCGGGGGAUGGCUACGCGAAAGCGUAGCUAAUACCGCAUACGAUUGGAGCGGCAGCUAUCGGAUUAGCGAGUGGGUGGGGGAACGGCUGACCAAGGCGACGAACCGUGGCCGGUGUGAGAGGACGACCAGCAACACUGGGACGUGGACACGGCCCAGACGCCUACGGGAGGCAGCAGUGGGGAAGUUUGGACAAUGGGGGAAACCCUGAUCCAGCCAUCCCGCGUGUGCGAUGAAGGCCUUCGGGUUGUAAAGCACUUUUGGCAGGAAAGCGGUACCUGCAGAAUAAGCACCGGCUAACUACGUGCCAGCAGCCGCGGUAAUAC